CCCUGACCUCAAGUGAUUUCCAAGCAUUAUUGUCAGUGUUUAUUACCUUCAGUAACCUGUCACUGUCAUUAUUGUCAACAGGUCUGUGUUAUCAAAAGAAAAAUCCCUGGGAAGUGACCAAACCAAUAUAUCUUGCUUGUUUUGUUUAUUUUUAAUCGUGUUCUAUGAAGAUUAUCCUAAAACACCGCCAGUAGGACCGUUGACAGAGAUCAUCCCAUUUUGUCUUGCUCUCUCUCUCUCUCCAGUCUGCUGUAUGCUCCACGUUUUAAAAAGGGAAAGUGUACAGGCCAGCUGUGAAAUGAGAGAAUAAAUCAGUUUUUUUCGAGAGCCUCGGCAGUGGUUCGUGUGUCACACCCAGGGGAGGAGCGGGGACACAGAAAGAACUGUUACCUGUCCACCGCCCACCUCAGUACCAAAGGUCUUUUGAAUUUCAAAAUAACAAGAUGGCAGGUGACUUUUGAGCACAGGCCAAGGACAGCCAGUUUCUCGCACUGUCCUGAAAUACACGACCUACAAUCCUGACGACGGUUACUUCUGUGCUUGGCAUGAUGGGAAAUGUUCAACAAGGCACCCGUCAGCUUCGCUCCACUGACCUGAUUCGCAAGACGGUUUGUCUGCCUGUACCUGAUCUCAUCCACAAACACCAUCAGUGUCAUAGACUUGGUCUGUCACUGAGCUGGUAGCCUGGUACAUCAACUCCAGUGGCACCGAACUCUGGCUCUUUAGUAAGGUUUUUCUAACAAAUGCAAGAUAAACAAACUCACAAAUAAAUGCCGCUGGUUGUGGUGAAGGCUGUGAGGCGUGACAACUCCUGUCAAGUUUUAGUUUAGGAUGAAAAGCAGCCAGGGAGUCAGUGCACUUCUUGUGACAGCCAAACAUUGAGAGAAAUGAUCAGGCUUCACAACCUGUCUGUCUGAAUACUUAUGUUGUGCACAUCUUGGGCUACCACGAAAGUAGCCAGCGCUAAAUCUGACAAAAGUCAUUGAGCUCAUGUCCACUGGGACCACUUCCGGUAGAAGGCAAUUAAAGUUGUCAACAACUCUUUACAUGCACGCUCCUCUGGUAUUGUUGUUUUUACACGUGACUGAUUUUGACAUCCUCUCGUCAGCAACUCUGUCUGAUACAACUACACAGCCCUACCGACUAUUCUCACACCUGUAUGUUCGCAGUUCUCUGUCGUAUUUACACUGGCUGCAUGGGUCGCUGGUCAAAAUGUCGGCAAAUGCUUGUCAACAUCUCCAAGUACAAAGACGCCGCAUAGGGCCAUGGGAUGUGUAGCAGCUGCACCCUCGGAGAUGUAUAGGUCCUAAGUAAGACUACAACUCCAUGGAGCUGACUCCUGAGGUUCUCUGUUGGUGUAUUUGUAGAUGAUGCCUGCAGAUGACUUGUCGCACGGAGAGAGGUCAGCUUGAUGUAUCGGAAAGCCUUUCACGAGGUCAUCAGGCGUCAUCUUGCAAGUCCCGCUAACUGAAAUAUGUGUCGAGUAUGCUGACCGGAAGUGUCUCCAGCUGCUGUUGAAGACUGCUCAUCUGUCUUCUGUUUUCAAGUCGUUAGAAAUCAAGGCAAGAACGGCUGUUCUAUCUGUCGUCGGGUCCCCCAGAUGGCGUUUCACGUUUUCUCCUGCUGCACUUCAUUUUUCCUGCUGCUACAGCUUCCGGCUGUGUGCGUGACGUGCGGCGGAAGUCACGUGGUCAGGCAAAAGCAGCCGCUCAGCCUCACGUCGCCCAACUACGGCCUGGGCCCGUACCCGCACCGUAGCAACUGCGUGUGGCAGGUGACAGCAGACGGGAACCAGCCACUGACCCUGACCUUCUGGACUAUUGAUAUAGAGGGACAUCCUGCCUGCUUUUUUGACUACCUGGUAGUCUACACCAGUGGUUGUGGGGCAUCGUUUCCCAUGAGGCUCUGCGGACAUUUUCUUCCAAAAUCAUUGACGUCGCUGUCAGGACAGAUUUGCAUCAGAUUUUUCUCGGACGAUGCAGUCAACCUGUCAGGGUUCAACCUCACAAUAGAAGUUCACGGAUCUUCUACGAGGCCUUCCAUAGCACCGCCAGCCGACGUGAAGGCGACGUUGUCAGCUGCUUCAGCAACGACGGACCACAGCGAUGUCACCUGGUUGUCGCGACCUUCACCUUUCAUCCAGGCCACUUCUGUACAACCAACGACAGGACAAGUCACUUUGACAGGACUGACAGUCACCAACACAGACACAAAUCCAGCUGUGCCAAUCACCAUCGCAGACUCACAUCCAGCGAUGCCAUCUACUAUAGACACUCCCCUACCUGUGAUAGUCAGCACCACAAAUACACAUCCAGUUGUGUCAGUACCCACUAUAGACACUCACCUACCUGUGACAGUCACCACCACAGGUACACAUCCAGUCUCUGCUACAGACACACAUCCAGCUGUGUCAGUACCCGCUGGAGACACUCACCUACCUGUGACAGUCACCACCACAGGUACACAUCCAGUUGUGUCAGUACCCACUGUAGACACUCACCUACCUGUGACAGUCACCACCACAUCUACACAUCCAGUCUCUGCUACAGACACACAUCCAGCUGUGUCAGUACCCACUAUAGACACUCACCUACCUGUGACAGUCACCACCACAUCUACACAUCCAGUCUCUGCUACAGACACACAUCCAGCUGUGUCAGUACCCACUAUAGACACUCACCUACCUGUGACAGUCACCACCACAGACACACAUCCGGCUGUGUCAGUGCCCACUAUAGACACUCACCUACCUGUGACAGUCACCACCACAUCUACACAUCCAGUCUCUGCUACAGACACACAUCCAGCUGUGUCAGUACCCACUAUAGACACUCACCUACCUGUGACAGUCACCACCACAGACACACAUCCGGCUGUGUCAGUGCCCACUAUAGACACUCACCUACCUGUGACAGUCACCACAGGUACACAUCCAGUCUCUGCUACAGACACACAUCCAGCUGUGUCAGUACCCACUGUAUGUCCGGCGGGGAGCGUGCAGUGUGCUGGCGGCACGUGCAUUCCACGUCAGUGGCUGUGUGACGGCGAGCGUGACUGUCCCGAGAACGACGACGAGAGUUCAACGUGCAGAACAUGCGACGAGGAGCACUUGCAGUGCCAUGACGACAGCUGUGUGCCAUGGAAUGAAGUUUGUGAUGGCACAGCUCAGUGCACACACGGCGAGGACGAGGCAACAUGCAUGCAGGUCUCAGCAAGCGGUGUCCUUCAGGUUCAAAGGGAGGGACGCUGGUUUGAGGUGUGUGCUCCAGAUGUGACUGAUGAUACAGCAUUAGAGAGAUUUGCAGUCAGUGCUUGUACUGCAGCACACCUGGGAGACCUGUUGUGGUUUAACAAAACAACUGUGCACAUGGACUCAUUGAUUGCACUAACAUUGAAUGACAUAGAACUGUAUGCUUUGGGCCAAGGGUUUGCUCAGCUCAGGUUUUCUUGUCCUAACAGUCAGGCCCUUGCUUUGGCAUGUGCAGAGAAAGCAUGUGGUCACUCUGGUGGACAUCUGGCCCAGCUACACACCAUGGGUAGAGCAGAGUCUGUGGAGGGUGAAUGGCCCUGGAUGGUGGCCAUCACAGCUGGAGGUAGUUUUCUGUGUGGGGGGUCUCUAGUUGCUGACCAGUGGGUCAUGACUGCUGGACACUGUGUAUACAACCUCAUCAACACACCAGAGCAGCUGACUGUUGUCUCUGGCCGUGUGAAGCUUGGUGAAAGCAACUCACCUGAGACAGGAGUGUCCGAGGUCGUCUUGCACCCAGCCUACAACUUCAUCUACAAUGCUGACAUAGCCCUCCUGAGACUUCAUCAGCCUCUGAAUUUCACCUCUGUGCAACAUUCCAUUUGCCUUCCACGCCGACAACGCACGUGGAGUUCCACCAUUCCUUGCUACGUCACAGGCUGGGGCAUCUCAGAUGUGAACAAGAGCAAACUGUCCCCUGUACUACAACAUGCCAAGGUUGUGGUGUGGGAGCAGACCAAGUGCCAGACUGUUUAUUCUUCUCGUCUUACAUCCUCCAUGAUCUGUGCUGGCUACGAGAAUGGACAAAUAGAUGCCUGUAAGGGUGAUAGUGGGGGACCUUUAGUAUGCAGAGACAGUCAGGACACCUGGGUGCAAGUGGGCAUUGUCAGCUGGGGAGAAGGAUGUGGAGUCCCUGGAAAACCAGGUGUUUACACUCGUGUUGACUCCUUUCAGGACUGGAUACAAGAAACUACAGCCAAACCAGUGGUUAGUGUCACAUGCCAGUUCGAGACACCAGCGGUCUGUGGUUAUACAAGCAGGACAAAUGUGAUGUCAUCAUUCUUGUGGUCCCGCUCCUCAGCAGGUGCAGCUGAGUUUGACCGGCCUGUUCAAGACCACAGUUUUGGAAACCAGUCAGGUCACUACAUGUUUGCCCAUGUGAAAAGUGACAACUUGUUCCAGACCAGCACACUUCUAACGCCAGAAAUACAGGUGCAUUCGGUGGCAUGUCUGACGUUUUACAUUGCCUUUCAUAGCACAGAUGCCAGUCUCACAGUUAUGGCAGUGGGCGGCAGUGACAACCAUACACAACAACUAGUGUACCUGAGAAAGGGCUUUCCUGACUGGUCACUAGUGGAGGUUGAAGUGUUUGGCUGGGUUCAACAGGUAGCAUUUGUGGUGACUGCUGGAACGCAGACCAGCGGAGGGGUGGGGAUUGAUGAUGUCAGCAUUCAAAAUAAUCUGUGCACAGCCAAGGCACCAAGAACCAAUUCUACUGGACCAUGCAAGAAAUAAAGUUGAUAAUAGCAACAAAUGGCAGUUCUACUGCAACAGACACGAGUGUACAGACUGACAGAUACAUUGAGGCCAGUAGUGGAGAUACCUUUGUGGGAGGCGCUGCCACCUUGGUGUCCCCACUGAUGACCUCAGCUGUUCCACGGUGCCUGCACUUCAAGUACAGAAUAGUACCAGCAUACAGCAUCUCGCUGUCCA
rnacentral:misc_RNA from 1 species